GCCUGGAGGAGGGGGAGGAGAAGGGGCGGAGCAGUCGGUGGGCGCGGCGGCUGCUGGAGGCUAGCGCGACCCGACUCUUAAGUUUUCUUUUCCUCUCCAGAGGGGCCGAUUAGGGAGAGGAGAUUGUGAAGAAGCCAAGGUGCUGGCUGAAGAUUACACCUGUCUGCUCGGUUACCCAUUUACUCUGGAGAAUUAAUGCUUAUUGUACUUUUUAAAAUAAAACUUAUUUUUGUGUUUCCGGAAAGUUUGCUCUUUAGUAUUUCCGUUGUAAUUUAUUACCUCCUGCUUGAAAUUGAGUACCAAAGGAGUUUUUAGGAGAGAGGGUAGGGUCUAACCAAACAAAAUAGGCUCAGCCAGUAGGUCUUUCUUUCAUCCACGGAAAUAUGUGUGUUAUGUCACAGCACUAAGGGCAGAUGUUUCCUAUUUCUUUUCGGGUAGUCAAUCUCCGAAUGCGCUGAUGUUUUCCAUUAAUGUUAAUAAUUUUAUCAUUAAUGGAUUUCAAAUUUUUUAUUAGGGAAGCAUGUGUAAUUGCACUGGUCAACAAAAUCUAAUUUAUUUACUCA
rnacentral:lncRNA from 1 species